rnacentral:rRNA from 1 species
UACGAAGGGGGCUAGCGUUGCUCGGAAUCACUGGGCGUAAAGCGCACGUAGGCGGCUUUCUAAGUCAGGGGUGAAAUCCUGGAGCUCAACUCCAGAACUGCCUUUGAUACUGGAGAGCUCGAGUCCGGAAGAGGUGAGUGGAACUCCGAGUGUAGAGGUGAAAUUCGUAGAUAUUCGGAAGAACACCAGUGGCGAAGGCGGCUCACUGGUCCGGUACUGACGCUGAUGUGCGAAAGCGUGGGGGAGCAAACAGG